AUUGAACGCUGGCGGAAUGCUUUACACAUGCAAGUCGAACGGCAGCACGGACUUCGGUCUGGUGGCGAGUGGCGAACGGGUGAGUAAUGUAUCGGAACGUGCCCAGUCGUGGGGGACAACGUAGUGAAAAUUACGCUAAUACCGCAUACGAUCUAUGGAUGAAAGCGGGGGAUCGCAAGACCUCGCGCGAUUGGAGCGGCCGAUAUCAGAUUAGGUAGUUGGUGGGGUAAAGGCCCACCAAGCCAACGAUCUGUAGCUGGUCUGAGAGGACGACCAGCCACACUGGAACUGGGAACCGGUCCAGACUCCUACGGGAGGCAGCAGUGGGGAAUUUUGGACAAUGGGCGAAAGCCUGAUCCAGCCAUUCCGCGUGCAGGAUGAAGGCCCUCGGGUUGUAAACUGCUUUUGUACAGAACGAAAAGGUUUCUACUAAUACUAGGAGCUCAUGACGGUACUGUAAGAAUAAGCACCGGCUAACUACGUGCCAGCCGCCGCGGUAA
rnacentral:rRNA from 1 species